GUACUCAGGAGAGUCUCUUUUACAGUACCAUACCGGAAAGGCAAGGCGGUAUAUCUGUAGAAGGGCGCCGAAGGUGUAAGCGUUGAUGCUUUGGUAUUCCUGUUCAUGCGGGAAAACGGAGCGAAAACGUGAGUCUCUCAGGCAAAAGGAUGGAGGUAUAA
rnacentral:ncRNA from 1 species